rnacentral:lncRNA from 1 species
GUUCCGGGUUUAUCAAGUGAUGCCCAAGACCGACCCGACUUCAUACCCGGGCCGGGUAAUAUCCGGCCCGCAACACCCGGGUACGGUCCGGGUCCGGACCGGGCGGGUAUUUUUGCCACCUCUAGGUGUGAUGUUACUUUAGACUGGAGAUAAUGCUUAUACUUUUAUUUGAUUGCUAUCAUUAAUCUGAUUGAAUAAACACGAGUGUUUCUAAAUUUUAAAAAAAAAAUCAUUUUGAAUUUGAAUUUUAUUUUCGCUUCAUUUGCUAGGGACUAGCAAUAAGUUGGUUGGGGGGUGUGUUGAGUGUUAGAAAAUGCAUAUUUAUAAAGUAGAAAACCGUCAUUUUACAUUUCAAGUCUUACUAACAACCCUUACUUUUAUGUGUUUAACCUUCUUGUGAUUUAAUUACAUGUGUUUUAUUUUAAUUAAGUAUUUUAUGUAUUUUAGGGGCAUUAUAGUCAUUUCACAAUAAACGAGAAAUCAGAUGGCAAAACGGACAUCACUUUUGAACUCAAGACGGUCGAAAACCUUAGGAGGAGCAUAAAAGGAAAAAUGGCAUUGUUCACAUGUACGGUACUGUAUACAUUACUGUUCACGACACUGUUCACAUAGACGAACCGAUGAUGUGGCAUUGACUGAUGAGGUGUCACGAUCCUGUUGGACUAAAAUUCUUAUAUACUGUUGAUGGUGACGUGGCAGCAUAUCAGUGGACGAAAAAUCUCGCAUACGGUGCAUGCAUCACACAGGAUUAUUUUCAACCAAACCGCGUUACUGUUAAUUCGGGUCAAACCGUGUUACUGUUAAUCCGUGGUCAAACCGUGGACUGUUGACUGAUGACGUGGUGCAAUCCUGAGCGUCCAAACUGUUUUUAAUCCGAUGGCCAUGAUUUACUCCACGUAUCUAUAAAAAGGGGGCCUCUCCCCCUAAUUUGAUAUCUCUGAAUCCAUUUUUGGGAUCCAUUUUCUGUAAUUCCUUCUCCAUCUUGUAUUUUCUUCGUAUUUUAAUAAAUUCCCAUUUUGCCCCUAGUUCAAUUAUGAGUGGCUAAUUUUCUUUCAAGCUUGGGUUGAAAGUGAAGUCUCAACAUGUGUCAUGGGCUUAAUUUCGUAAAUUUAUUUUCUCUUCCCCUCUAAUUUUUGUGGAUGUUUUGACUUCUCGUCGACAAAUAAUAAUAGUCUUGUCUAGAUACCGCCUUGGUUACACCGGCUCUCUAGUAUAAGGUUAUUAUUAUUUGGCACGAUAAGCCAUUAGCACCAUAUUGAUUAGAGCGUGGUUCAUGAGGUGUGGAUUUCCCCCUUAUGAUUUAAUUGGCAUUAAUACGGAUUAUUUAGCCCAUGAUGCAUGUUGAUACGGAUCCAGAUACCCAAGUACGUCAUUUCAAUAUAAUUCUCUUCAAUUUAUUCUCGCCAUUUCAAUACCAAUUUUAGAAUUUAUUCUCGCCAUUUUAAUUUAAGUUUUAGCAUAUUCCAAAUCAUUUCCACUACAAAUCCAACCACCCAUUUACAAAAUUAAUUCUAUAUAUAAUUAAAAUCCACCUCCUCGUGGGAUCGACACUCGUCACCAUUAGUCUAUACUACAAUAGAUUCGUGCGCUUGCGAGUACAUUAAAAUUUGCACAACAUUGGGAGUGAAUAUUCACUCUUUGAAAAAAAUGAGAAAUUUUCAAUUUCUCAAGUUCAUCCUAUUAUUUUCUUAUUAUUUUUAAUUCUAAUAAUUUAUCAAGGCCUUGUUCAUCUAUUAUAUCUUCAGUUCUUGCUCUAAUACCAAAGAAGAGAAAAAGGGGUUUAAAAGGUGAAGGGAAGAUACUUGUAAGUGGCUUGUUAUACCGACAAUGCAGACUGAUAUAGUUUCCCAUUUGGGUUAACGAUCAUAAUAUAUGUUGCUAAUUUCCCACUUGUAUACAGUGAGUUCCCAAAAAGUUUUGUGAAAACUACAAAAGCUAUCUUGGCAAAAACUAGCUUUUCGAAGCUUAUUAAACUGAUUAUGAAAACCUAUUAGUUAAAAAUACUUUCAAACUCCUGACUUACACUCAAAAACGCCUUCUCAACACAUUAACGGUUAAAUAGGCCAACAAAGACCAUGUUUACAAAAAAGCUUUCGGAAAAUUAGCAACAACCUCAACUACGUUCUUGGUAGGAGCAGCAGAGGCGGCUUGUGCCCUAGACAACUUAGGCGGUUGCCUAGGGCCCCCGCCAUGAUGAAGGCCCCAAAUUUGGGAUAUUAAUUUUUAAUUUUUUAAAUUUAAUUGAUAAUAAUUAAUUUGCUUUAAAUAAGGUAAACCAUAUUAAGUAUUAAUUAAAAGAUUCCAGCUAAAAAUAAUGGAUAAGACUUAAAAAAAUUUCAAAUUGGAAGCUUUUGAUUGCAUUUAGAUUUAGGCUAAUAAAUGUUAUUACAUUUUCAAAGAAUAAACGUUCAUAUUAGGUAGUUGAGUGCACUUAGAAUCUGGUUAAUAAAUAUUAUUAUAUUUUCAAGAAAUAACUUUCAAAUUUGAUAGUUAUAUAUUGCAUUUGGAAUUCACCUAAUUUUUCAUACUUUAGUGAAUUACUCCCCAUUAAAAAAAAAGUGAAUUACUCCAAAAGCAAAAGAAACGUGUCUACAAGAAAAAAAAACAAAAACAUUAUUUUUUCUCCACUGCAACUUUUUUCUCUAGUCAUUGAUCAUUGCUCCCAACUACUGUUGAAAGCCACAUUGCCACAAUCUCAAAAUUAAAGUUAAUUUGUGAUUUAAGUUCAAAGUUCCAAGUUUUAUCUUUCUAUUCUCUUGAAUCUCUAUUAUUUAUUUGUGCUAUUUUUUUCUUAUACAUAUUCUUGUAUUCACUUGUUUUGAUUUAAUUUAUCUAGCAUAAUUGUGUGCAUGCUUUAUUAUUAUUCUAUUUUAAUAAUAAAUAAUGUCUACAAGAAAAUAUGAAUCAAGAUAUCAAAACUGCAAAAAAAAGAUAAGAAUAGAAAAGUUAGUUCAAUCACAUAAAGGAGUCCUUGAUAAGUUUGUUAGGAGUGAUAAAAAAAAAAGUGAAUUUGAGUGAAGAAUUAGUAAUUGAACAAACUCAAGUUGAAUUAUUAGAUGAUGAAGUGUCUAAUGAUAAAAAUGACACCGAAGAUAAUAAUAAUAAUCAGAAUGAAAGUGAAAUUAGAGAUGAAACUGAAGAUCUAGGAGAGUUCCAUUUUCCAAAUAAUAUUUAUGAUCCUAGUAGAUGGGAAAAUAUAGAUACAAAAUUAAGAGAUUUCCUUGUAGAGAAAGGUCCAAUUAAAGAGAAUAAUUUAAUUUUUCCAAAGGAUGAAGAUGGCUAGUAUAUUCAAAAGAUUUUGAUAAAGUUUAUUAUUUCUGUUGCAAAUUAUUCAAUGCAAACUCUAAUAAAAGUCAACUAAGUAAUGAGGAACUAAUGAUUGGAAAAACCUUAGUGUUAAACUUAAAAGUCAUGAAACCAGCACUGCACAUAUCACUAAUAUGAACAUGUGGAUUGAAUUAGAAGAAAGAUUAUUGAAGAAAAGAACAAUUGACAAAGAUAUUCAAGAAAAAAUCAAUAAGGAAAGAGAUCAUUGGGAAUAAGUACUAAUAAGAAUUAUCGUUGUUGUAAAGAAUCUUACAAAGAAUAAUUUAGCAUUUCGUGGAAAGAACGAGAAAAUAUACCAAGAGACUAAUGGAAAUUUUCUAAGUUUAAUUGAAAUGAUUGCAGAAUUUGAUCCAACAAUGCAAGAACAUAUACAUCAUAUUAAAAAUGGUGAAAUUCAUAAUCAUUACCUUAGGCAUAACAUACAAAAUGAAUUGAUACAAAUGUUAGGAGUGGAAGUAAAAAAUUCAAUAAUUAAGAAGAUUAAAUAAGCAAAAUAUUUCUCAGUUAUACUUGAUUGUACUCCAGAUACAAGCCACCAAGAACAAAUGUCUAUUGUAUUGAGAUGUGUAGAUAUUUCAAUGGAUCCAGUGAAAAUAGAAGAUUUUUUUUUAAAAAAUUUUUAAAAGUUGAUGCCUCUAGUGGAAAAGGCCUUUUUAAUGAACUCAUAGAUGCCAUAAAAGCUCUUGAACUUGACAAUGAUGAUGUAAGAGGACAAGGAUAUGAUAAUGGUUCUAAUAUGAAAGGAAAAAAUUAAGGUGUACAAAAAAGAUUACUAGAAAUUAAUCCUAGAGCAUUUUAUACAUCAUGUGGUUGUCAUAGUCUUAAUUUAGUGCUUUGUGAUAUGGCUAAUUCUUAUUCUAGAGCUAGUUCAUUUUUUUGGAGUUGUACAACGUAUUUAUUCAUUAUUUUCUUCUUCAACAAAGCGAUGGAAAUUUUUGCAAGAACAUGUACCCAAUUUGACUAUUAAAUCAUUGUCACAAACACGUUGGGAAAGUCGAAUUGAAAGUGUAAAAGCAAUCAGAUUUCAAGCUCCACAAAUAAGAGAUGCAUUACUUGAAUUAGCAAAAAUAAGUGAAUAUUCUAAAAUAAAGAGUGAAGCUAAGUGUCUAGCAACAUAUGAAUUAGAAAAUUUUGAAUUCUUGCUAGGUAUGGUUAUUUGGUAUGACAUAUUAUUUUCUAUUAAUUCGGUGAGUAAGAACUUGCAAAAAGAAGAUAUGCAUAUUGAUAUUGCCAUACAUCAACUUAAAGGACUUAUUUCUUUUUUUGAAAACUAUAGAGAAAAUGGAUUGGUGUCUGCUAUGAUUUCAACUAAAGAAAUUGCUUGUGCAAUAGAAAUUAAACCUAAAUUUAAUGAGAAAAGAAUGAUCCGUAGGAAAAGAAAUUUUGAUGAAAAAAUUGUUGAAGUUCAAAGUGUCUCCUGAAGAUUCUUUUAGAAUUAAUUAUUUUAUAGACAUAGUAGAUCAAGCUAUUUCAUCAAUUAGGAGUAGAUUUGAACAAUUUCAAAUGUAUGAGAAUAUGUUUGGAUUUUUGUUUAAUUUCAAAAAAUUAAAAUAUUUAAGUGAUGAUGUUUUAAAAACUUCUUGUGUUAAUCUUGAAAAUACUUUAAAACAUGGUACGUUUUCUGAUGUAGAUGGUUUAGAUUUGUUUUCUGAGCUAAAAGUUUUAAAAGAAAAUUUUCAAGGUGAAAAUAAUUCUCCAAUUGAGGUGCUUAAUUAUUUAAAAAGAGUUGAUUCUUUUCCAAAUACAUUUAUUACCUAUAGAAUAUUAUUAACAAUACCGGUAACUGUUGCUUUUGCAGAAAGAAGUUUUUCAAAAUUAAAACUGAUAAAAAAUUAUUUUAGAUCAACCAUGUCACAAAAAAGAUUAAAUGGAUUAGCUAUAUUGUCUAUUGAGAAAGAUAUAUUAGUAAAAUUAGAAUACAAAAAUUUGAUUAAUAAAUUUGCAUCUCAGAAAGCUAGAAAAAUUGAUUUUAAAUAGUUUUUGUUUUCGUAUAAUUCAUUCAUAUAUAUUUUUUCUUCAAUUUUUUUGUAGGAGGCCUAAUUUUAACAACUCGCCUAAGGUCCCGAUUUUAGUUGAGCCGGCCCUGAGGAGUAGUAAUGUAGCAAUACUCAUUUGAUCUAAUUAGCAGGCACUAAAAUUACAGAAUUCAUAAUAUGUUAUUGUAUAAAUAAAUUUAUGUGGUCAUAAGUCAUAAAUUAAGAGGGAGAGGCCCGAGAGUGAUUUACAAAGAUGCAGAUGAUGCCAAAUAAUACCCAAGAAUGUGGUAUUCGCUUUUUUUUUGUUUAAUUUUUGUUUGUGUUUCUAUUGUUUUUUAUUAUCUUGUAAAAAUAAGGCGACUCUUUCUUGAUUUAAGUUAAAAUAACAAAAAUCGUGAAGCAACUCUUAUGUUAUCAUCUACAACUAACUAUUAAUCACUUCGGUGUAUUUAUUGAGAAAAUUAAAUCAAGAAUCCUGUUCCCAACCUAAAUCCCUUAAAAAAUGAUGGUGCAUGCGGAUCAAAAAGCUAAUUAACAGGACAAGGUUUAUUGGUUGCCGAUGAUUAAAGUAGGAUAGUGCUCCUGGGAAAGAGACAAAGGUCGGUGGUGAUGAAACGAUCACGUGAGUAUGACGUGGCUGCAGGAUCUUAUCAUCCCAUGUAGUUGUGUUUGGCUUUUUGGCUAGAAAGUUGAUAUAAGAGAACGGAGAAGAAAAAAAGAAAUUUUUUAAAGUUAAAAGUGGAAAUGGGUACAGACAGACUCACAGACAGCACAAUGUCUUAUCUUAUGUCUAGUCUUCAUUCUAACAGGACCAGCACCAAGACCCAUGAUAUAUAUAUAUAUAUAUAUAAGCAUGCAAUAUAUAUAUAUAAGCAUGCAUUUUGACCAUGGAAAGCCUGAAGCCAUCCAUUUUACAAAAUUUUCACAAAAGACUCAAAAUUGACUAGUGGGUUCCCAAGGUUUUGGGAUUUUAACUAGGUUUAGGAAGGGGGUAUAUAUAUAUAUAUAUAUAUAUAUAUAUAUAUAUAUAUCUAGACUAUACUAGCCAGUUGGUAUUUGAGGACAAGAAUUGGUUCAGGAAACAGAAUUCUAAACUAGACUAAAACACUUGGUAGAAAAAGACAUGAGAAUGUCCAGUCUUGUCUCUCAACGCCCGCUUAGGGAAUCCAAAAUCCCAAAUUCUACCUAAUUGUGUUUAAAUGCAUUAUUAUAAGUCAAAUAUAUAGUUGCAUCAAAAUCUGAAGAAUUUAAAAAACUGAUUAAGAAACCAAAUGUAUGUUCGAGGAAUGUUCGUAGAGAAACUUUUUCAUCCUAUGUAACGUACAUUAAUUUAAAAUUAAUUUUUUUUACAACUCAGGUCUUGGUUAUCAAAUAAUUAGAUGGUCAUGAGAGAUUAAUUUUGAGUGAACGAUAAGUUGCAUAUUAUAUAAUUAGUAGCUUCCAAAGUAAUCUUAUUACCAGCAAACAUAAUUAGUUUAAUUCAAUAAGUUAAGGAGCCAAAGUCGGCGGAGGACUGGAGGAGGGUGGAGCUCAAAACUAUAAUACGUUUUAAGAAAUUUUAACAAAAAUAAUAAAUGGUACUAUUUUGGACUUAAUAAUUUUUUUCCCUCCUCAGAAAACACAUUUACAAUUGUCUUAAGUAUAUUUUCGUAUUGUGAACACGUUUAAAUAAUAAAUUUGUUAUUUUAAAAUUUUUUUUUGAAUAUUAUAUUAGAUAUUGCAAUAUGAAUAGUGAUCAGAUAUAGCCAAAAGUACCUAUAGAGCCUGCAUCAUUGUAUCAAACUUGAAGUCUAGCAGAGAAAUCUGAAACCAAAGAAAAUAAUAAAUAAAUAUAUUCUACACCUAAGGGAAUACCCUAACCCUCAAUCUUAAGAUUGAGGUGAGGAGACUCAAUUAUGGAACUCUCGACUUUAAGGUUGAGGCGAAGAGAUCCUUACCAACUCAACUGAUGAGCUGCUAACAGUAUUAAAUUUAUUGCUAUUAUUUCAAUAUAAGUAUAAUAAAAUUAUCGUUCAAUCAUUAAUGGAUAGAUUUAAUCCAAUGAUAGUGUUUUUUAGAGGAGAAAUUAUUUGGAUUUUAUGUGGGUUAAACAUAUAAAUUAUGUAUAAUUGCAUAUUGAGAGAAGAUUUACGAUUAAUAGAGACAUUGAUAAGGAGUAAGAAAAAAAAACAAGAAAAAAAAUUGAAAGAAGGCUAGACUGUUGCUCAAAAUAAAUAAACCAAAAGUAUGAUUUAACAAGGGUAUUUAAAAGUUUUCAAUGUUUAGAAUGGCUUCCACCCUUUUGAGCCCAUAAAAGUUUUACCUAUAAUUACGUUUAGAAAAAUAAAAAUGGUAGAUCAUACAUACAUACAUACAUGCAUACAUACACACAUACACACACACACACACACACACACAUAUAUAUAUAUAUAUAUAUUUCAUGUCCUUCCACAAUAAAUAAAUAAAUAAAGUUUCACGUGAUGUGUUAUUGUUACUAGCUAAAAACCGAUGCUAGGUCCAAAGGCCCAAUCUAACCCAUUUUAUGGUGGAUCGAAGCCACUCUAUUGGGAUAACCGCAUUUGGUUGUGGUUUGAGAGACAUAAAUACAUCAAAGUGCUGUUAAGCAUGCUUGAAGGAUCUUAAACCAUAACGGAACGUUCUAAAAAAUGAGUUAGUGGAAAACCAAUUACUAUAUAAAUAAUAAUAAUAAUAAUAAGCUUAGACUAAAAUAAUAAAUCCUGUUGAAACUCAAUAGGCAUAGUUAACAAUUAAUACAAUGCUUAUAAAAUUGUUAAUAAAAAUGUCUAAGCAUGCAUGAAAUAUGAUGCAAGCACGCAUGCAAAUUAGUGCAAAGAUGAAAGUCAAUAGACAUUGUUAACAAUUAAUAUAAUGCUUAUUAAACUUUUAACAAAAAUGGUUAAGCAUGUAUGAAAUUUAAUGCAUACAAAUCAAUGUAAAGGUAAAAGUCAAUAGUCAUGAUCAACAACUAGUACAAUGCUUACGAAAUUAUCAACAGAAAUUGCAAAGCAUAUGUGAAAUUUUAACAUAUGUGAAAUUUUAAUGCAAACAUGCAUACAAAUGAAUAUAAAGGAAGAAAUGAAGUCUGUAGAUAGCAGGCCUCACAAUCCGUUCAGGCAUCCAUCGUCUUGGUUAAAUAAUCUAAGAGAUAAUUAAAAGUAAGUUAAAGGGUAUUUUUUAAAACUAAUUUUUUUAAAAAAAAAUUAGAUCCAGUUUGGAAAUGUUUCCAAAAUAAUGUCUGAGAAAACAUUUUCAGUAUUCUCCCAUAAACAUUUCUAUGAAAACAUUUCAAAAUUCUUCCAAAAACAUUUUCUAAAACAAUUUCCAAACACAUUCCAUAUUUAUUUUCCAAAUUUACACUUUCUAAGCUAUAACAAUUCUAGAACAUUAACAUUAAGUUAUUGGUUCUUCAUUAUUCCGUGGUGUACUCCACUCCCACGUUACUAUUCACAACAGGAGUCGUUAUUGUUCAAAUACAAAUCCACUACUCAAUGAAACAAUAGGCAAAGUCAAAGUUACAAUAGGAGUUUAUUUAGGCUAUACCAAGGUCUGAAUAUGCUUUGGGAUUUUACGCUCCAGACCACACAAUAGAGUUCAAGUGGAUCACAUACACUAAGCCUGAAUUUUCAAUCAAACCCAAUCUUAUUUUAAUCGGGAAAGAGCUAUCCGUAUGAUAUGUAGCCCUUGUGAAAUUCCUGGCUCNNNNNNNNNNNNNNNNNNNNNNNNNNNNNNNNNNNNNNNNNNNNNNNNNNNNNNNNNNNNNNNNNNNNNNNNNNNNNNNNNNNNNNNNNNNNNNNNNNNNCUAUGAGCAUCGUCUAGGAUGAUAUUCUUUAAGUUAAACUACUUUUCAUUUUUUUUUUUGCCCCUCAAAGAUUGAUACAUUAGUUAGAUUUGUCAUUGACCUAGGGGUUGGGUAUUUUUGUUAAGAUACAUAAUGUAAUCUCAAACAAAAAAUUUAUAGAUUUUUCCGACCGACAUAGGUUCCGAGACAGCACAUCGUUUGUUUGUGAGACAAUUCUCACUUCAUUAACUGAAAAUACAACGUUAAUUAAUGCAUGCAAUGCGAAGCACCAAAAAAGAAAUCUGCACACACACAGUAAUAAUAAAAAUAAUGUUAUUGGAGACACAAGGAGAGACAAAAGCACCGUCAGAUCCCAAUACCGAUGCACCAACCGGGGCUUUGAUGAACUGAUGGCAACUAAAAUUAAAUCAUAAUAAAUUAAUUUCUUCCAAAUUCCUAAAAAUAACAGCCCCCGUGCCCCCCCGGCCCUUCCCCCCCCAGAAGAUUUCACGAGAAUCGAACUUUUUCUCCAAAUAAUGCAGCAGCCGAAGCAGCUGAGGCAGACGCAUAGCAGAAAUAUGUUUUAUCAUUAAUAACUGAUAGGAGAAGUAAGCUAGCUGUCGUUAUUGUGUUUUUUGUUUUUCGAAAACGACAAAUCGUAUCUAAAGCCAAGGUUAAAUUUUGAAAAAAAGAAAAAAGAGCAGUCAACGUUCGGAUGACGUCAGCAUGCGGCAGGUGUAAGUAUGCAAGUGGAAACAAAAGCUGAGAAAAGCCGUCACGUCGGAUAUGCUUUAAACGGCUCAUGAAAGAGGAGAGAGUGUGUGGAGUUGGGGGGUAGGGCUUCCGAUUUUAAAAAGUUGUGCUUUGCUUCAGACUUUUGCUUUUGGCCUUUUGGUGUAAAGAAAUAAAGGACACAAAAGAAAAAAAAAAGCAGACUUUGCUGCGUGCCAAACGGGAUAAAAUGGGUCAAAGAGAGGAGACCAAGCAACAGCAAAAUCCACACGUAUGACACACCUCUCCCUAAUUUGCCAACACUUACUGAAUUCUGACUUAAUUUUUAAUUAAUUUCGCUGCUUUUGCAGCUAAUUUUGUUCCUCAAACCUGAGAUGGGGUGGGGAUGGGCCGAUGGGAUCAUGCGACCAUUUUUCGGAAAAAAAAAAUUUAAGGAUAUAGUUAUUGGUGAUGAUAAAUUUGCUCUUGCUAGUAAUUGAGAGAAUUUUUAAUUUUUUGUCCACAUUUAUGAGAGGAGAUGUUUGAGUUUCGAAUAAAAAUCCUCUCCUGAUGUGAACUCUCAUGAGUUUUUAAAGAUUUUAUAUCAUGUAUAUUUAAGUGAUAGUAUAUGGAUAGAAUUUAAUUUCUUUAUUUUUUUUAUCUAUUAAUUACCAAUCACCCAUAUGUAUUUUUACUUAAGAAGAUAUUAGAUCAUGAGAGAAUUCUGAUCCUUGAGUUUUGGUAUAGAUUCGAACUUGUGUCAUUUUCAAAGUUGAGCCAGUAAGUUCGUCAUUAGACUAACAUUUCAAUGGCAAGUGACUUGUUACAUAUGACGAGGGGUGAAUUGAUUUCUUAAUGCUUACCAUACAGUCCCAAAUGUCAUUAAAAAUUUCAAAACUUUUGGUUGUAUAUUCAAACUUAUGGAUUACGCAAUGCAAUAUCUAAGAUUUGUAAUAAAUAAAUUUGUUUUGUAGGUGAAAAAAAAAAAAAAUUUUGUAACAAAAAUGUGAGAAGAACAUUACAUAUAUAUGCAUGAGCUAUUUUAAUCCAAACUCACUUUUAUAUAAAUAAUUCACGUGAUAAAUUUAUAAAUGAUCCUAAUAUUUAUGUAUUGUAAAAUAUUACCAAAUUUUCAAAGAACUUCAAGGCUUCCCAAUUAACUUACAGAAAAAUAACUUUUAACACGUCACAGACCUAAUUCGAAAGUUCAAUUUUAGCAAGAGAUGAAUUUUUCUUCUUUAAUAUAUAUAUAUAUAUAUAUCCGGACGCCCAACUGCCCAUUACAUCAUGUUGUGAUCAGAAUCUUUGUCGGAAUAAAAAAUUACAGCAAUUGCCACUGCCGUUCCGUGGCUUCGAUUGGACAGUAGCACGAGUUCUUAAUUUUAUCCAAACUAACAUGUAGAUUAAGCGCACACGUCUUAUUUUUCAGAUAGUUAAAUUUCUUGUCGCCUAAUCAUCCUUUUAAGAGUUAGUGCACGUGCCAUUGUCCACCACUUUGUCAAGGUUGUUACUAAAAUAAUAUUUCCUUAAUAUUUAUUUUCUUUAAUCUCAACUAAUAUGAUGAUCAAAUAUGAGGAAGUGGGGAUAUUUCCACCCUAAAAAUUGUGUAAAUCCAUUUGAUUUUAAAAGUUUAUUUAUAAAAAUUUGCAAUAUUUUUUUAUUAUGAUAGAAAAACUUAUAAAUAAUUGAUCAAUAAGAUCGUUCUCAAAAUCAAUAGAUUUCAUGAAAUAAAUAGAAUAAAUUUUCUACUGAGUUAAUUUCGUGAGAUAUCAUGUUACAAAUAUAUUUUGCUAGUUUAAUUGAGGUUCAAUAAUCAUAUUAAUGAGGAUUUACUUGGUUUAUUGUUCUAUAAAAAAAUUGGUUAAUUGAUCAAAUUUACUUUUAAUUUGAAAUAGUUAAAAAUAAAAUAAAACAUCGAUAAGUUAAUAAAAUUGGGACAUAGAAAAUUUAUUAAUUUACCAACUAUAUCAAUAAAUUAAUAAAUUAUUAAUUUAUGAAGAAAUUCCUUAUUUUUUGAAAAUAUGACCACAUUUAUAUUAUUUAUUUACUCUUAUUAUAUUUUAUUUGAAUAAUAGUGUGUUAUCUUACAUUGGUAGUAAUUAAAUUAUUGUAGAGGUUUGUUUUUCUAUAUUAAAGAUGAUAUAUAGAGACUGUCUCACGCUUGUUGCAAAAUAACAAUGCAAACUAGAAUUUCGCAUUACAAAAAGAGUCAGAGAUGAGAUUUAAUUCCAAAUUAAUUUCAAGAAACAAUAAAGAUAGAUAACAUAUUUUACAAAAGCAUGUAAUUAUUAAUUUAUAUGUUAAUGGAUCCUAUAGGAAAAUAAAACUUCAAAAAAUUAUUAACUUAAAAAUUAACUGAAUUAUUAAUUUAUCAUAUUAGUUCUAAAUUAAAACCAGUAAAAAUUAUUAGUUAAUCAAGGUUAUCAAUUUAUCAAGAUUGUAUUGAAAUGUGAACUUUUUUUUUAUUAAUUUUUCUAAAGCGUGGGGUGUGAAUGCACGCAAUUUGAGGGUGAAAAUAUUAGCCGGCCUUAGAAUAUUCGCAUCACUCAUCAUUUUGAUAAUAAGACACUAUAAUCUCACAAUCGACUAAAUUUGUCAAACUAGAUCCACACAAGUUAGAAAUAACUUUGAUGCAGAGAUAUGUUCAUGAUGAUGCACAAAUGUUCAUAAUGACGACCAAAGAUUUGUACGUAACCAUGAAAAAAUUAAUAAACAUUUUCAAUGAAACUAAUUUUGUCCUCCCCAACACAAAUUGGUAGGCCACAAUGAAGCAAAUGGAUGACAUGCAUGGUGAAAAAAUUAUCUGUAAAACGUGGUUGCUGAUUAAUGAAUAAAAUUAAAAAUAAUUAAAAAGUUAGAUUAAUUAUUCCAAAGAAAAAAAAAAGUUAGACUAAUGGAAAAAAGAAAAAUGAGCGGCCGACAUGCAAUGUAUGAGGCGAUGGUUAUCGUGAGCACACCACAACAUGGUCACCGGCUUUUGGCCGCGACAUGUUCCUCGGUUCCCUUUUCUUCUUUACCACCAACACCAUUAUAAAUCUAUCAAAGUUUCUAUUGUCCAUGCUUUACCACGUGCUCAGAUAAUUUUUAAUGCAAUAUAAUUAUGUUUAACAUGUAUUUUAGAAUGCGUUGUACGUUCAUAAUAAUAAAAAUGCCAUCUAAGUGCAAUAACAUGCUUUGGCUUAGUGUUGUGAAAGUAGGUUUAUAUGGAUAAGUUUUUUUUAUGCAGAUGAGUUUUAGUAGACAGUGGCAGAAUCAAGCUUUUAUCUGACAGAGGUUAUGAUAGAUAAAAUAUAAACUUGACCAGGCUCUAAUACAAAAUUUAUAAAAUUGAAGGGGGACAACAACACGGGUUAUAACGAACAAACCAUAAAAUUUAGUAGACAAUCAAAAACUUGUGUGAAAAAUAAAGAGGCUAAACAUAAAAUUCAAAUAAAAUGGGUUCCAGAGUAACUUUUUAGUGUAUAAUUAUCCCCAUUUUAAGAGUAUAAUCAUAGAAAGUUCACUAUAUUUUUUAACAAUUUCAAUUAAAGAAGAAAUUGUAACAAUCAGUCAAUUAAAUCCUCCUUAAAUAACAACGAACCAAUGAAAUCUUCAUUAUUCUUUUUAUGAUUUUGUUGUUGACGACCUUUAACCAUUAAUGUAUCUUAAAAAAAAAACAUUGUUAUUGAAUUAGAAUUUGACUAUUUUGCUCUUAUAUGGUAAAAGUACAAAAAUACUGACAAAUUAUUUUGACUUCAUCAUUUUUUGGGGUAAUUUUUAAAAACCUCCCCUGAGGUUUGGGCUUGUUGCAAGUAGAUGGCGAGAAUUGAUUUAUUUGUAAAAAAUCCCCUACCGUCAGUUAAGUUUAACAUUGACCGUUAGUUGACCAUGCAAAGACAAUAUUACCCUUAACAAUAGUUUGUAAACGAAAAUAACUAAAAAAAAACCAAAAUUAUUGGUGCAAAAAGCACAAAUCCUAUUUUUUGACAAUUUUAUCCUUGUCAAUUCUAAAAAUUUACAAUAUCAUAGGUAAAGAUUAUGACUAUUUCAUUUUUAAAUUUUUAAUUUUAUCUUUCUUGUAAGAAUUUUAAGGAAAUAUUAAUAAUUUAAAGAGGAUUUUUUAAUUUUUUAAUUUUAAUUUUUUAUAAGAACUUUAAGAAAAUAUCAAUAAUUUAAAAAGUGUAAAAUAGCUAAUAAUUUUGGUUUUUUUUAUAGUUAUUUUCGUUUAUAAACUAUUUUUAAGGGUAAUAUUGUCUUUGCACGGUCAACUAACGGUCAAUGUUAAACUUAACUGACGCUAAGGGGUUUUUUACAAAUAAAUCAAUUCUCGCCAUCUACUUGCAACAAGCCCAAACCUCAGGGGAGGUUUUUAAAAAUUACCCUCAUUUUUUGUACAAAAAUUUAUAUUUUUCAAGAUGAUUUACCUAUUGUACUUCAUUAAUAUGAUUAUUAGGGGUAAAAUAGUCAAAUUAUAGCGAUAGCAAUUUAAUAAAAAAGAAAAAAAUCUAAUUGACUAAUUAGUUAAACUUUUUCUCUAUUUAAAUUGUAAAGAGUAAAGUUCAUUUUUUUUUUAAUAAAUAACUACUAAAAUAAGAUGGGCUUACAUAAAUUGUCGGGUAAAAAUAUUUCCACCCUUAAUUUGGGGGUAGAGAUGGCCAACAAGCUUUUUGCUUAGGCCCGGUCCGGCACACGUGUCGUGCUGUGGGUCAUGUCGUGCCGUGUACAGGAAAAAAAAGCUCACUAAGUUUUUUUUUUUUUUUUAAGAGCGCAUGCCAAUUAGUUGUCUUACUUUUUUAAGUCUAUGUACUUUUUUGAAUCCAUGUGCCUUUAUUCAAAUUUAAUAGAAUAAAAAAUUCAAACUCAAGUCCAUAUUUAAUAAUAAUAAAUUAAUAAUAAUAAGAGAAUAUAAUAUUAGUUACUAAGUUUGACUCUAUAGUAUUAAAAUUCUUUUUUAGUACCUAACAACAAUAAUAAUAAUACUUUUGUUAAGGGUUAACUUAAUUCUUAACUUGAAAUUAUGUAGAGUCAUAUAUCAUAGUUUAUAAUAAUAUUAAUACAUAUUUAUAAAAUCAUGAUAUCUAUAAUUUUAUUUAUUAAAAUCAUGAUAUCAAUUAUUUAUUCAAUAAAUUAUAAACAUAAAUCAAUUAUAUUUUUUUGAAACUAAGAAUUAAAUAAAUUUUAAAAACUUGAGCUAAUAAAAUAUAUUAAAAGAUUCAAUUUCAAGUUAUUUAUAAAAUUAUAAAAUUUUAAGUUUACUUUCAUUAAAAAAUAAAGCGUGCUUAUUGCGUAUUUUUUCGAGUGUCAUGCUUUGACUCAUCUCUAAUCGUGUCAUACUUUUAAGGCCCACGUGCCUAAAAUUCUAAGCUCGGCCCAGCCCACGUGCGUGUCAUGCCGUGCCGCGUGCUCUACCGAAACAUACUCGUGCCGUGCCAUGUUGUACAGACAUGUGUCGUGCCCGUGCCAUACCUCGUGCCGUCCGGCCCAUUGGGCACCUCUACUUGGGAGCACCCUAGCCACCUUAUAAAUACACAGGAUUCCACCAAUAGGCCAUAGAUGAUCUAAAUCCAGGCAAAUCCCAGUAAAUCGAUAACACAUCAAAAAAUAAAAAAUUUUGUCGAGAUUUUUGAUGCUCUGAGGUUUUUUAUUUAUUUUAAGAAUAAUAUUGAAUAUCUCAAAACUGCUUUCCAAGUUUUAUGUUUAUAUGCCUAGUGUUUAAAUUCUAUUAUGGUUACAUCCACUAAAAUAAUAAUAAAGCCCAAUUAUAUAAUAUAUCCAUAUAGACUGUAACCAUUUACAAACGAAUCCUUGCUUAACAAGAAAAUUUAGAUUAGGUGGAAUUUUUAAAAAAUAAAAAUAAAGAAUUGACAAUCUGGGGCAUUCAAACUCAUGAUAAUCAUUAAAGAAACUGGCAGCAUCUCAUAUAUGCUCUGUUUUGGCCUCUUCCUUUUAGGCAGAAUCAUGUAAAUAAAUGAUCGUUUUCCACAUCUAGCUCACUCCAACUCUGCAACUCAAUCCCCGGCCUUGUUUCAACAGAAAAGGUAAAAGCAACGGAGAUAGAGAAAGGGCAUCAUUCAAAAACAUGCAGCCCUUAAAAGUUGAAGAUGCCAUCACGCUUAUGUUAGCAAGUCUAUGCUGUUGCUUUCGUUUGCCAUGACAAGUCCAAUCUUUUGUUCAUUAUCUCCAUGUAAAAAUAUAUAAAAGAUAACACUAUUCUAAACUUUUUCAAUUUUACGUUACAAGAUGCUCUAAAUUAAAAAAAAAAAAUUAUGUUACAAAAAAUUUCUACUAAGACCUUUGGCUAGAUAUUUUUUAUGCACUAGCACUAGAAAUUUGUCUAGAUUCUGCCCAGAUAUUUAUCUCUUAAAAAUUGAAAUAAAACCUUCCCACGUUAUCCCAUUUUCUUCCAUGAAAAAGAUAUAUGAGCUAUGAUCUCUUGAAAAUAUAUCUUUUUUUUUCCAUUUAGCAAUCAGAAUACAUGUAUGAUUUUUAUUGAAAAUGAACCUAAUCAAACAAUAAUUUUACAAUAAUUUAAAGUUAGUUAAUUAAACAAAUGGGCAAUCGCAUCGCAUGAUUUUGGGGGAUGUCAAAAUUUAUCCCCCAUUUAAUCACCCUUCACUCAGUGACUUAAACAAAAGACACGUAUGGUUGCUGAGUUGGAUUGUACAAAGACUAGUCCUCACAAAAUUAAUCACACAACCUACAGGUCCAAAAUAUGACAAGUGUACAUCAUAGGGUUAAUCGAAGUCAAAUCACUGAGUCAGGGCUCGGGCGAUAGACCAUGACGAAAACGAAAAAAUUAUUGAAAGGGGCCCCGACAAGAAAAUCGUUUUCUUUUUCUUUGGCCAACAUCAAUCGCAUUCAAAACAUGCAGCAGCCGCUGCUGCUCCUUUCGCUACUAAACUGAAAAGGCAAAGCCCUCUGAAUACUUGAAGAAGAAAUUUUCUUUUACUCUUCAAAGCAAUACAGCCUCCUUUUUUAAGCUCAAAAUUUAUUGCUUAUUUUCGUCUUGCAGUCAUUAGUGCCAAGGCAAUCGUGCCUUGAGCCAAAGAAGCCAAAUCUGCACUGCAAAAGGCCCCACUUAGUAGCUAGAAUUCCCAUAUAUGGUAAAAAAAAAAAAAAGUAACUAUUCAAAUGAAGAUAUGUAUCUGAAAUUGUAUCCAGGGCAUUGAAUAUUUUAACCAAACACGGGCGUAAUUUAAAUCCAGAACAGUAUCAAUUAAGGACGAUAUGAGAAGUGGCUUCCAUGAAAAGCUAUGAAUUUUCAGAUUUGAUGUCUAUAGAAAUAAAUUCUUCUCAAGUUUAUAUUAAGCUAUCUUUUAUCUUCAUUGUAUGAUGCCUAAGGGAUAAUGUUGAAUAAUCCAAUAACUGCCAUACGCAACUCAUGUAACUGUAAAUGGUAAUAUAUUCCAUGGAAAAGAGACCGUCCAAAUCUAAAGAUAAAUUUGGGCACACAUUGAGAAUCAGAGAUGAUGAGAAUAUUCAUCAAUUGCCUUGUUGUCCAACUUCUUAAAAUUAAAAAAAAAAAAAAAGAUACCCAAAUCUCACAAAUUGGAUACUAUUAUUUCAUGAACAUUAUGAAGAUAAGAACACUAACAUACUAUGACGUCCUUAUUUCUAUUAGAAUAGAUUAAAAAAAUAUACUUAAUAGCGAUUGAUUCUCCAUAUUAAUUUCUGAAAUCGUAGAGAUUUAAGCAUCCAUAUUUGAAACGGAGAGUUUAACUGUGUAUGGAAGUCUUACACCACUCGAUUACACGGUAUGUGAAGCGGUAGCUAGUAUCAGAGCUAACUCCAGGUCUAAAAGGUGCUUUUUUUCUUUUUAUUUUAAAGGGUAAAAAGGGGGGCUAAAAUGCGCAUGAAUGUCACGUCAAAAAAAAAAGAAGCAAAAUAUUGUGAUGGCCACGUUCUUAUUGCUUUUAAAAAUUUAUUUACAGAGAAUUAAGUAGGAUUUCCCAUAGGGCCCGGCAACAAGGACGAAAACAGCCGUCUAUUAAGUAAUCACCCAACAACUCUCCCCUGUCAAAGCCUGUGCUUUAUGUCUCCCCAAAACCCAUUAUUAUUAUUGUUUUUUUCUGCGAACUUAUUAAAAUUUUAAGGAUCUUUAGUAAUUAAUUCUACCCACCUAAAUGUUUUAAGAGGUACAAAAUAAUGAACCUAUUAUUUUGCCUCCUAGAUUUGCAUUUAUUAAUGCAUAAAUAAAAAAAGUGCGCGUAUAUAAUAAUACCAUAAUUAUUUGAACUUUAAUUUAAAGCCCCAUUAAUAACAGAAUACAUCCCCACUUUUUUGUCGGAAAAAUAUUUAUAACUGAAUCGUCCAUGAGACUGUAUGACUAUGAUCAAUUCGUUCUAUCUUUAAAAAAAAAAUUCUUAAGAGCACAAACUUGUUAAAAGAAUAACCCUAGAACUAAAAAAAUAAUAAAUUAUCUUUGGCCCAUUCUCGUAUCUAUAAAUACCAAGCAAAUCUUCCAAUCCGUUAACUCAUCACUCAACACACUCACUAGCCAAAUAGUUCCCGAAAGAACAGUUUUUGCAUUUCACUUGCUUCCGCUUUCUUAAUUUGUUAUUACAUUAACACACAAUCACAAUGCAAUACCAAACGGAGUCAUGGGGCUGUUCGUACAUGCCGUCGUCGAGGGGCGCUCUCGGCGGGGACCCACUGGAGCACAUAGAGAGGCUGGCCUCGGAGAACGCCGUGGUCAUCUUCAGCAUCAGCAGUUGCUGCAUGUGCCACGCCGUGAAGCGCCUCUUCUGCGGGAUGGGCGUUAACCCCACGGUGUACGAGCUGGACGAGGACCCCAAGGGAAAAGAUAUGGAGAAAGCUCUCAUGCGCCUCCUCGGCACCUCCCCCGCAGUCCCCGUCGUCUUCAUUGGCGGCAAGCUCGUCGGCUCCAUGGACAGAGUCAUGGCUUCCCAUAUCAAUGGCACCCUCGUCCCGCUCCUCAAAGAAGCUGGCGCCCUUUGGCUUUGAAUUUCAUGAUCAGAAGUCCAUUUUCUCUUCUUAUAGCCCCCCACCCAAAAAAGAAAAAAAAUCACUUUAUUGUUAUUACAUUAAGAGAAACUAAAUGGCAGAGGAAGAGGAGUUUGUGUUGUGUUGUGUCUCCUCCAUUUUGGGUUGCAAAGAGGAGUUACGACUACUAGUAUUGUGUUAGCCAGCUUCUGCUUCUUCUUGUCUGUCUUUUAAUUGUGGCCGGCUCUUUACUUAUGUUUUGUUUGCUUUGUAUUUUCUUUCACUGAUGUAAUGUAAUCUAAGCUCCCUCCUCUGUAAUAUUAUUUAUAGAUAGAAAGCAAAAGCCGGUUUAUUUUAUCUUUUUUUUUUUCACAGUGCUUCUAUUCUUUUUACUGACUUGGGGUGGGGUGAGUGGAGGAAAAUUCGGAAAACAAAAAAGUUUCUGGUUUUGUGCCGGAAAACUCGCCGGGUGCAAACCCCACGCAGAAGAUGAACGUUCUUUCGGUGGAUGUGUUGUGUUUCGUUUGGUUUGGUUUGGUUUUGUUGGGUUGGGUUGGGUCCGGUCCGAGGAUAUCGUACAUUUCAUUUGAUCAAUUUAAUCCGAUAACCGUGCAUUUUUUUCAGCAUGGGCCAUCUUUUCAUUCUGAUCCAUUGUUCGCCAUCCGAAUGGAAUUGGACCUGGACCUGUACCUGUUCCCUCUUCUUAUUGGGGGGAAGGUUGGGUUGGCGUAUCAUUUAGUUUUCGAGGAAAGUGUAGGGGUUAAAAGAGUGCAUAUGUAGAGUGGGGUCAUCAGUCUUUUCCCCACUUUUAUUGAACUUCUCUGUCCGUACAUCUGGCUCCACCAUAAACCUCAUUUAACAGCACUGCGGCUACGCCUAUUAUCAUCGAUCUACAAUAACUUCGAUAUAUAUAUAUAUAUAUAUAUAUAUAUGUGUGUGUAUUUAUUAAUUUAUGUAUAUAUAUAUGUAUGUUUGGUUAUGUUGGAGUUAUUUCACCUUAGGUAACUCCAAUAAUCAUACAAUUAUAGUCAUGACCUGACGGCUAAAGAGAACGGAUUUAAUCGUUUGAUUAGAGUUGCUCAACUAAUGAUUUUUUCUUUAAAAAAAAAAAAAACUCAUUUUUAUUGCAAUUAGUUUAGCUCUCUCAUAUGAUGACAUUUGUCAUGUUCGUAAUGACGUGGUGAACUCUUUCUUCCCACGUAAGGCAGGCAUAUGUUCCCUCAUUGCUGUGGUCCGUGGUGACGGUUUAUGCUUGUACCCUCGAUUGAUAUUCCCACAGUUUCCUUAAUCCUUAUCUGCUUGAUUCGCUCUUUUUCCUUCUUUCUUCUUCCUUUUCGUUUAAAAACAUUAAUACGGUUAUAUAAUUCGUUGAAUCAAUCUCCACUAGUCUAUAAAGUGGACUUGAAUUCCUCCAUAUUCAAAAGUAAUUUAUAACAUGAUAUUAUUGGGUGGUUUUAGUAUCUCUUACGUUCAUAAAUUGUAAAUAUUGAAAUGUGAUGCAAUCAAUUUGAGCUUACUAUAUUUCAUGGGGAUUCUGUUAUAUGUUUAAGAAUUUUUUUUUCUUUCAAGAUUAGCUUGUCUUUAUCUCCAAUUCAUUUGUUGGAAUUUUAUUACUAUUUCAAAAUAUUAAUUUCCCACAUUUGAGGGAACUGAGAGCAAUCAUUUUUAUAUUUUAUUUAAAAUUAGUCACGCGUUUGAUUUACUUAUAAAUUAAAGUUGAAUAAGUCAAAUGUAGAUGUCAUUUACAUUAUUUAAAAAUUACAUAAAUUAUGAGGUAUAUGAAUGACUAAUUCAAAUUAAAUAAGGAAAGUGGGUGAUUAAUUUAUUUUGAAUUAAGAAAAAGAUUAUAGAGGGUUUCUCUAUAUAAAUGAGACAUAAAAAAACCUUUAAGGGACUGCAACCUCUAUUUUCUUCAUAAAAUAUUCUUUAUGUGCUUGGAGUACAACCUCACAACAGUAGCAUCAUUUGAGUCCUGGAGAUAAGCCCGUAUUAUUUGUGUCCUUAUUUCAUUGGAAAAUCUUUUUAUAAGAGUGAAAAUUGGUCAUGAGGACAAUGUAUUAUGCACGCCUUGACGAAUAUUGUGAUUGCUGGCAAGUGAACAUCGCUGUGAAUAGUAUUGACUGAACAACACCCAUCAAUAGCGACAUGAAUAGUGUUCGUAAAUAGUAAUGUGAACAAUAUUGACAACUACUAUUCAUAGGGCUCUAUUUGCAUGUCAAAAUUGCUGCUUCGGCUGGUUUCUAGAAAUUCAACAAAGCAAUAUUGACUCUUGUUUCCAACAUAUCACCUAAUACCUAAGCGGUUCACAAUAAGGAAAAAGAGAAAAAUCAAUGGCAGCACCCUAUUUCAUACGCAGGGAUGGAUCCAUAAAAUUAAUCUAUUAGGGACAGUACUAUAAUAAAAAAAUUAAUAAAAAUAAAUGUUUGGGAGGGAUACUGUUUGGGACAAAUGCGUCGAAGGGACCAGGAAUGACGAGCAGAUAUCUGAUGGCGGAGUUCUGCGAACCGGUGUGUUCCGUUAAAGCCUGGCGCGUGGAAGAACAGGAGCAGAAACAUCUUGCUCGUCCACGAUGUUGUCGUCCGCGAGGCCAAUUCCUAUAAAAGGCAUAAGGCCAUUCCGGCUAGAGAUCGAGAGGCGAGGAGACCCGGUCGACGGCAGUUGGCAAGACGUGCUCUCCAGCACGAGAAUCUAGGCACAACAGCCACGCUUUCCCCAGAACCGCGACGUAACACGCAAGAUCUCACAGAGCCAUGACAGCCACACUUUCCCCAGAACUGUGGCGUAACACGCAAGGUCUCACAGAGCCAUGGCAGCCACGCUUUCCCCUGAACCGUGGCGUAACACGCCAGAUCCCAUGUUUUGCCCAUAACGCAGCAGUUGGAGUCCCAUACCGUCUCGAAAAGAGCGGAAGACUGAGAUUCAGAGGAAGCCUAUAAAAAGGUAGCCAACGAAGGUAAAAGGGUUGGCAUUCUUGAGAAAAGGGGAGAAAACCACAAGAAACGCCAUAAGACCUGUGGCAAGCUUUUCCCGAACCUUCAUAUCUGACUUGAGCGUCGGAGGGUUUACGCCGGGAAAACAACCGGCGUACUCUGACUUAUCUGUGUACGCAGGGACCUCUGGAGAAGAAGCCUGGCGAGGAGACCUCCUGGUCGUGACGAAGUUGAUCGAGCAGAGAUCCUGAUCGUAGAACGAGGAGAACCGAAAUCUCGCAUCAACAUUUUGGCGCCGUCUGUGGGGAUCCAGAGCAAAAAGCUUCUGUCGAUAGCAAGAAGAGAGGUGGAGUAAGCGAAAGGCAAUGGAGAUAGGAGGAAGUAGCGCACAAGGGGGUGACAUAAGGCUUAACGAUUCCGUGACGCUGAGGGAGGUAAUCAGCGAAACACGGGAAAAAGUCAUGUUCGACCGGAUGGAGCGAAUGGAAAAGUAGAUGGAAACCUUGACAACCAUCCUGCAUGAGUUGCGGAACGAGCGAAGGGUAACCCAAGAGGGAAGGGUGAGAGGCGGUGGAGCGGCACCAGGUACCGAUAGUGCGGAGAGAAGUCAAACCGCUGGGAGAUUUGGUGGUGAGAGAGGUAACGUACCUCUGCGGGGAGAAUUUCAUAGAGAAAGAGAGCAGUCCCCGGUAAGACAGACUUGUGACGGGGGCGACGGGGUGGUGAAUGCAGAGGAAACAGAACUGAGGCAACACUUACAUGAUGUAGAGCGAGAGCGGGAUCAAGCUGCCGCGCGCGACCCUGGUCGCGCAGGACAGCUGGAGGAGGAAGUGCGAAGGCUAGCGCAAAUAAUUGACGACAUGCAAGGGAGGAACAGAGCCCCUGGUUGGAGGAUAAUGCUGGACGGGGAAUCACCGCUCGCAGCAGAGAUCAUGAGGGCAGUUAUUCCGAGAGAUUUCCGCCUCCCCGACCUCAAAUACUCGGGAAGAACUGACCCGCUGGUGCACAUAGAGCGCUUCAACGACAUAACGGGGGUCCAGGGAUUAUCUCCAUCCCAAAGGUGCAGGGUGUUCCCACUAUCCCUUGAGGGACGUGCACGAGAAUGGUACAGGAAACUUCCUCGGGGCAGCAUAAAAACCUUCGAGCAGAUGUGCCAGGAAUUCGCAGAGCAGUUUAGUGGGGCAAUGUCACCGGAAGAUGACAUGAUGGAGCUGAAGAGCAUGAAACAGGGGGAGCAAGAAACCCUUCGGGAAUUCAUCAAGAGGUUUCAUCGGGCUGUCCUCGACUUGGGAGCCUUCAACCACCCUCAGGCGUUAAGGGGACUGAAAGAAGGGGUGAAGAUAUGAAGGCUGUGGUACAAUUUGAGAAGCCCAGCUAUUCAAACGUAUGCAGCCGCAUACGAACAGGCUAAAAGAGACAUCGAGAUUGAGGAGGAGAAGGCUGCACGGAUCAAGACAGACCAGUUGGAAGGGUUAGGGAGGAAAGAGAAGAAAGCAUUACCAACUAAUGGGCCGAUCAGGAGGAGGGACCACCAGAUCUCCGGUAGUGGAGCAGGAGGUAGGGUAAUUGCUUACCAGCCUCAUCAGAGGCCGCCACAGUAUCAGCGCAGCAGGGCGCCACCUCCUCGUUCCCCAGCUAGGGAGCCUUGGAGAAGACAUGAUCCGGCAUCCGGCGAUCUUCAUCAACAUUCCCACGAUAGCAGGACGAGCAGACCAGAAGCACUCCCAUCGCCCCCAACUCACAGUGGGGCAAACAGAGAAAGAGCAGUGCAUCUGGUCGACCAGAACCAGGACUAUGGGCGGUACACUCCCUUGAAGAUGCCCCUGGAUGAGGUGUACGAGGCCAUAAAGGGUCGAGGGCUGUUGCACCUCCCUACACCAAUAACAAAGCUACCCAACAGGAGGGAUAGAGGACGUUAUUGUAAGUUCCAUGGCACCCAUGGCCAUACCACAGCAGAGUGUAGAGAUCUCAAGACCCAGGUCGAAGAUUUGGUGAGAAAUCGGUACCUGGACGAGUUUAUGGAUGAGACUUUCCCGAUGGUGGCCACAACGGAUGAAGGGGAGCAGAGUGAUGGAAUCUUGGGACGCGAGCCGCCCGCAGCGAGGGUGAUAGCUGGGGGCCCAACGUUGGCCGGAGAUUCGAACAGAUCGAGAAAAAAUUAUGCCAGAUACGCCAUGACCAGUAAAGAGAUACUCUUCAACACCCCAGCAGCCAAACGAGCAAGGGUCAGGCAAGUGCCAAUCAUGUGGACGGAUGAGGAUGAGGAAGGGAUUCUAUACCCCCACGAGGACGCUUUAGUCAUCAAGGCUACGAUCGCUAGCAAGAAGUUUGACCGGAUACUGGUUGAUACGGGGAGCUCAGUUGAUGUGCUAUUUAAAUCAACUUUGGAAGAGAUGGGAAUAGCCGACCGGAAGUUGGAAUACACCAACACCUCCUUGAAGGGGUUCGGAGGAGGGAAGCUGGUCCCUCUGGGCGUGGUCGAACUGCCCAUCACAAUCGGGAGCCCCCCGACAGAAAGAACAAUGAUACUGGACUUCGUCGUAGUGGACGAGGAAGGUCCUUACCAGAUGAUCCUAGGUCGGCCAUUUUUAAGGAUGAGCAAAGCGGUGCUGUCCAACCAUUAUCUGGCUCUGAAGUACCGGGUGAAUGGGGUAGUCGGAGUGGUACGAGGAGACCAGAGGAUCGCAAGAAGCUGCUACUCCUCGGCAGCAAGGGAGGUGAUGCAGAUAACAUCCCUCGAUACCCGAGUGGAAAACAAGACUGGCAGACAAGAACCCGUAGAGGAUCUGGAAACAGUAAGCAUGGGACCAGAGAACCCGGGAAAGACGAUCAGAAUCGGGUCGAGACUUGAGGGAGAGCAAAAGCAGGAGUUGGUGAAAUGCUUACAGGCUCAUGCCGACGUGUUUGCCUGGACACAUGAGGACAUGCCAGGGAUUGACCCAGAGGUAGCAUGUCAUAGGCUGGCAAUAAAGAAAGGUGCUCGGGCAGUAAGGCAGAAGAGGAGGUGCUUCAACCAGGAGAGGUAUGAGGCUGUAAAUGAUGAGGUGGAGAAGCUUCUGAGAGCAGGGUUCAUUCGGGAAGUCAAUUACCCAGAGUGGAUAUCAAAUGUGGUGUUGGUAAAGAAGGCAAACGGCAAGUGGAGGAUGUGUGUGGAUUUCACAGACCUCAAUAAGGCGUGCCCAAAAGAUAGCUUCCCUUUACCAAAGAUCGAUCAGCUAGUAGAUUCAACGGCUGGACAUGGUCUGCUUAGCUUCAUGGACGUAUUCUCGGGAUACAACCAGAUCCCCAUGUACGAGCCGGAUGAGGAGAGCACGGCUUUCAUCACUAACCAAGGUCUGUUCUGUUACAGGGUGAUGCCAUUCGGUCUCAAGAAUGCUGGGGCCACCUAUCAAAGGCUGGUGAAUAAAGUCUUUAAGCCCUUGAUCGGGAAAACCAUGGAGGUGUACGUGGACGACAUGAUCACCAAGUCCAAAAUCCCGAAGGAACAUGUCAGACAUCUCGAGGAGACGUUCGAGCUUUUGAGGAAGUAUAAGAUGAAGCUCAACCCGGAGAAGUGUGCUUUUGGGGUCGAGUCAGGGAAAUUCCUGGGAUUCAUGGUGAGCCAUAGGGGGAUUGAAGCAAAUCCCGAGAAGAUCCAGGCGAUUGUGCAAAUGACGUCUCCUCGAAACCUGAAGGAGACGCAGAGCCUCAUGGGGAGGUUGGCGGCGUUGAGCAGAUUCAUAUCCAAGGCUACAGAUAAGUGUCAGCCAUUCUUUCAAGUGAUAAGGAGGGGAAAGAAAACGGAAUGGACCCCAGAAUGCGAGGAAGCCUUCCGGAACUUGAAGCAUUACUUGCAGCAAGCUCCGCUACUGUCCACACCGAGGGAUGGGGACAAGUUGAAUCUGUAUUUGGCGGUAUCUGAUCGGGCCGCCAGUUCCGUUCUAGUGAGAGAGGAAGAAGGAAUUCAGUAUCCGAUAUACUACACCAGCAAGGCCCUGCUCGACGCUGAGACCAGAUACCCAACGAUGGAGAAAUGGGCACUGGCCCUUGUGGUUGCUGCUCGGAAGUUGAGGCCGUACUUUCAAGCAUUCCCGGUCUCGGUAAUAACCAACCAGCCAUUGCGUCAAAUUCUGCACAAGCCAGAUGCCUCUGGUCGGCUCGUCAAAUGGACUGUAGAGCUGAGCGAAUUCGACAUAGACUAUAAACCCCGCGCGGCGAUAAAGGCCCAGGCAAUGGCCGAUUUCGUAGCUGAGUUCGCGGAGCCCGAAGUAUGCUUGGAUCAGCAAGAUGCAGAUAUAGGCAACGACGAAACUCAAGUAUGGCAGAUAUCUGUGGAUGGGUCAUCAGGAGAGCGGGGUUCAGGAGCAGGGAUUGUCCUGGAAGGCCCAGAGGGGGAGGAGAUCUCUUAUGCUGUAAAGUUGGAAUUUGCAGCCACAAAUAACCAGGCAGAAUAUGAAGCCUUGAUAGCAGGGCUGGAAUUGGCUAGGGCCGUGAAAGCGGACAGAGUUAAGAUCAGAACCGAUUCCCAGCUGGUUGCGAAUCAUGUCAGUGAAAGAUUCCAACCAAGAGAGGAGAAGAUGGAACAGUACCUAAGGAUAGUCAGGCAGAUGAUGGGGAAGUUCGAAGCAGUGGAGGUGAUACAAAUCCCCAGGGAGCAGAAUAGUCGAGCAGACAUUUUGGCUAGGAUGGCAGCCGUAGCCGACCCAAAAAUGCCAAAGUCGGUCCCCCUAGAAGUGAAGUCUCGCCCGAGUAUCGAGCAAAAUUUGGGGGUGUUGCGGAUAGAACAAAAAAGCUCGUGGAGGGACCCGAUAGUUUCAUACCUUAGAGACGGGGUCUUACCGCCAGAUAAGCUACGGGCUCGGAAGAUUAGAGCUCAGGCCUCGAGAUACACGAUGAUCGAUGGGGUACUGUAUCAGCGAGGAUAUACAUUACCGUUCCUUCGGUGUUUGGACGAUGACGACGCGGAUUACGUGCUGAGGGAAGUACAUGAAGGAAUUUGCGGAAAUCAUUCUGGCGGGAGGUCCCUGGCCCACAAGGUUCUAAGGCAGGGAUAUUUCUGGCCGACGAUGCACCAGGAUGCGCAAAGGAAGACCAGGAGCUGUGCAAGCUGCCAGAGUUUUGCAAAUUUCUCUAACCAACCACCAGAGAAGCUCACCUCCAUGGCCUCCCCUUGGCCAUUCGCUCAAUGGGGAAUUGAUCUGAUCGGCCCAUUGCCAAAGGGACGAGGAGCAGCAACACACGCAAUAGUCGCUAUAGAUUACUUCACGAAGUGGAUAGAGGUAGAAGCCCUUAGCAGGAUCACAGAGAAGAAAACAACAGACUUCGUGUGGAGAAACCUGGUCUGUCGAUACGGGAUCCCAUAUGCCUUGGUAACGGAUAAUGGCAGGCAGUUCGAUAAUCACAGCUUCAGGGAUUUCUGCCAGAACCUCGGGAUAGAGCUGAAGUAUUGCUCGCCUGCUCACCCUCAAUCGAAUGGACAAGUAGAAGCAGCCAACAAGACAGUCAAGAGGCUUCUGAAAACCAGGCUCGGAGCAAAAAAGGGUGCGUGGGUUGACGAGCUGUCAGGUGUGCUAUGGGCAUACAGAACAACCCACAAAACCGCAACGGGGGAGACACCGUUCGCUUUGGCUUUCGGACAUGAAGCGGUCGUGCCGGCUGAGGUAGGAACGACCACACACCGGACAGAUCAUUUCAAUGAACAGGAGAACGACGAGCAGAUAUGUUUGAAUCUUGAUCUGCUAAUGGAGAGGAGGGAACAAGCAGCCGAGCGAUCAGUCACUUACCAACAGAGGGUUGCUCGGUAUUAUAACCAGAAGGUGAACAUACGGCAAUUCAGGGUCGGAGACUGGGUACUGAGAAGAGUGAAUCAGAGCACCAAAGAUUCGACUCAAGGAGUGCUGGGACCGAAUUGGGAAGGGCCGUAUAGAGUCAAGCAGAUAGCGGGGCCCGGAGCUUACAAGCUGGUUCGCGCGGACGGCCACGAAGUGAAACGCCCAUGGAACGCAGCACACCUCCGAAAAUACUUCCAGUAAGACUUGCUCACAUUUUAAAGCAAUUUCUGCUCAUGCUGUUUAUCUUUUAUUUUUAUGUUUUAUGUCCGAACAAUUUCAUGUAAGUCAAAUCCUGCCAUUAAUGUAACGUCGACGAAUUUUAUUCGCUUGAAACCGAAAAAAAUCCUAAGGCAUGCAAAGGCUCGUCAAGUCUCAGAGCCUGUCUUAUGGCGAGACAGAAGCCAAGCAUGCCAGGAUCUGCUCGGCCACGAGAAGGCAGCAGAAUCCAAAUCGUUUGAAAAAAAUACUAAGGCAUGCAAAGGCUCGUCAAGUCUCAGAGCCUGUCUUAUGGCGAGACAGAAGCCAAGCAUGCUAGGAUCUGCUCGGCCACGAGGAGGCAGCAGAAUCCAAAUCGUUUGAAAAAAAUACUAAGGCAUGCAAAGGCUCGUCAAGUCUCAGAGCCUGUCUUAUGGCGAGACAGAAGCCAAGCAUGCCAGGAUCUGCUCGGCCACGAGAAGGCAGCAGAAUCCAAAUCGUUUGAAGAAGAUUCCCAAGGCAUGCAAAGGCUCGACAAAGUCUCAAAGCCUGUCUUAGGGCCAGACAAAAGCCCAGCAUGCCAGGAUCUGCUCGUUCGCGAGAAGGCGAGCAGACUCCAAGGCAUUCGGAAAGUUUUCUACGGCACGCAAAGGCCUCACCAAGUCUCAAAGCCUGUCUUACGGCGAGACAGAAGCGAUCAGCGUUUCAGACGAAAAUUAAUUCAUAAGUACGACACGAGAUAGUAAUCAACAACAUUUUUAUUAAUGGCUAACAGAGGGGAUAAAUUUCAUAAACGUUGUUCAUUACAAUACAAGAAGAAAUAUAUCAAAAAGAUGGUGGAUCAGUGAGCCGAGCAGCAUCGGUUGGCUGGACCUCCUCGGGUGCAGGGGGGGUAUCACCAGUUGCGUCCGGGGGGUGCUCGCCUCGCCAACAUCAGCAGGGACUGCACGAGGAGGAGAGUUACCCUCCUCAAUCACGAUCGGCUCUAACCCCUCGGCAUCUUCCUUGGCCGCCUCCUCGUCCAUAUGCUGAGCAACACCAGCUGCAAGGUCAUCCAUCUUCAGAUCAGGGUGUCGCUUCCCGAGGACAGCCAUGAUGCAACGGUAGGAAUGCCGAAGUCCCUGGUCGUACUGGUUGUCGACUUCUCUCUCUAAGUUCUCGACUUCCCUCUCCAAGUUCUCGACCUGGGCUCGGUGGGAGUCGCGGAGAGAUUCGAGCUGAGCCGCGUACAUAGCCAUCUGCCUUUGCAUAUCCUCCUUGACCUUGGUAAGCUCCUCCUCGAGGGUAAUGGCUUUUGCUUGAGCAAGUGAUUCUUGCUCUAUCAGCUUCAGGUUCUCGAGAUUCAGCUCCCCUGCUUUCUUCUCGGCAACGUCAGCUCUGGUCGUCGCCGAUUGAAUAUCUUCCUUCAUCUUCCGGUCGUAGCGGCCCACCUUAGCCUUGUAAUAGGUGGUCAUGCAGCUGAGGUGGAAGGCGCUAUGCUACAUGGCCCCCACCAGCUCACCCAAGGUGCGGCCGUCAAAAUCCUCCAGCUCCUUCUUGCUCACGAGUUUGGUUAACUCAUUGAGGUAAGGGACCAGAUGUUCUGCUCGGCUGUCGGGUAAGCGAGAUCGAGGCCCGACAGGAAGAGAAGAGGUAGCAGGACCUGUGGCUGCUCCACUGGCUUCCCCAACUUUUUCAGGGGCUGGAGGUAAAAUCUUCAAGGGUGGGGCCUGCUGCACGACGUUGGCCCGCUUUGCAGUAGGGGCAUCCUUACUGUGGUCCCCCUUCGUGGUUGGAGGUCGAGAACGUUUUCGGGUCAGGGCCCCAAUCACAGCGUCCUCCAUCCUAUGGCCAGGAAGUAUCAAGCGAGACUCGAGCAAGUUGUAUGUGCUUAACAGUUCUCGGCUCGAGCAAGAAUUGGCCCGUACCGCCUCGACCCGUUUGAGCUGGUCAGGUUUGAGCGGGAAGUGGACACCCCAAGAAACUACAACACAAACAGACACUUGGUUAGAGACAAGCCAAUAAAACAAGGACAAUUAUGGAUACAAGACAUCUGAAGCGAGCAGGCAACCUGGGACCGUGAAACGGGGCGGGACCCGGUAAUCCUUCCCGUCCAUUUGUGCGACCUGACCCCAAGGACCCCCAGCAAAAAAGAACUUUCUCUUCCAAUUCCCACCACCACCAGUAGGGAGGUCGGUUAUGGGUUUCCUGGUCUUGGUGCUAGAUUGGAAGUAGUACCAACCGGCAUCUUUGGGGCUGCUCUUUAGCUGGUACAGGUGCUUCACCUCAUCAAUUGUGGGCUCGCUUUGACAACAUCUGUCCCACAAUAUGAACAGACCAGAGAGCACUCUCCAACCAUUUGGGUUCAGCUGACCAGGAGAUAGAUUUAGCCCGCUAAGUACCCGGGCAAAGUAAGGUUGCAAGGGACAUCUCAGCCCGUACUUAAAGCUAUCCAGGUACAGGGUAACAUAUCCCCUAGGAGGCCGGCUAGGAGCAUCCUUAUUUCCUGGGACCUUGAGAAGUAUUUCACCAGGAAUGCUAUACCUCAGCCGGAGGUCCUCGAGCUCAUCAAACGUGGUCGUGCACGUCAUGUAAUCAAUAGCGUAGUCCCGCGAUAGGGCUCUACCUCCUAUUCUACUCCUCCCUUCUGGUCGCGGCGCUCCUGAUGGGGACGCCUCACCAGAAUCAUCCCCUUGACCCUCACUCAAGGUGUUCUCCGAUCCAGAAGAUCCUUCUUCAUCGCUACUGUCGCUCGAGGAGGUUGUUUGGGGAGACAUCCUCCUAGCGCUAGUACCAACACUAGACCUAAUGGGCUCUAAGGGGAUCCCGGGAUCAAAAGCGGGAUCAGCGAGCAGACUAGGUGGGAAGUCCAACUCGUCGUCGUCAACCUCAAUGACCUUCUCUUUGCCCUUCGACAUUCCCUAAACUCUACCACAACGCCACCAACUACUACCCAAACGAAAGAAAAAAGAAGUUAUCUAUAAACUAUCCGAGACCGAGGAGAGAGAAGUAAUACCUGAAGUACUGCUCCAAUCGGAGAAAGGCAAGGAUGGGGGCUUCGUGCCGGAACUUCUUUGCCGGAGAAACAGAGACGUAGACGGAGACAGAGUGAAUGGUGAAUAUGCCGUUCGAGAGGAUUUGGCUUUCCAAAUGAGGACGGACUCUUGGGUUGCCAGCAUAUAACUGCGCCGAAUCCCGAGGAUCUCGUAACCGUCGGUUUGAAAUUCAAAUGGAGGGGGGGAUUUCUGCCACGUCACCUCAUCCGCAAUUAAAUGCGACAUGACUCCUGGCAGCCUUUUCCAAACCCACGCGAGCGAGUACUAUCGAGUUUCUACUGCUGGUCCACUACAUUACCCAACACCAGAAACUGGGGGACCGGUGUUUGGGAGGGAUACUGUUUGGGACAAAUGCGUCGAAGGGACCAGGAAUGACGAGCAGAUAUCUGAUGGCGGAGUUCUGCGAACCGGUGUGUUCCGUUAAAGCCUGGCGCGUGGAAGAACAGGAGCAGAAACAUCCUGCUCGCCCACGAUGUUGUCGUCCGCGAGGCCAAUUCCUAUAAAAGGCAUAAGGCCAUUCCGGCUAGAGAUCGAGAGGCGAGGAGACCCGGUCGACGGCAGUUGGCAAGACGUGCUCUCCAGCACGAGAAUCUAGGCACAACAGCCACGCUUUCCCCAGAACCGCGACGUAACACGCAAGAUCUCACAGAGCCAUGACAGCCACACUUUCCCCAGAACCGUGGCGUAACACGCAAGGUCUCACAGAGCCAUGGCAGCCACGCUUUCCCCUGAACCGUGGCGUAACACGCCAGAUCCCAUGUUUUGCCCAUAACGCAGCAGUUGGAGUCCCAUACCGUCUCGAAAAGAGCGGAAGACUGAGAUUCAGAGGAAGCCUAUAAAAAGGUAGCCAACGAAGGUAAAAGGGUUGGCAUUCUUGAGAAAAGGGGAGAAAACCACAAGAAACGCCAUAAGACCUGUGGCAAGCUUUUCCCGAACCUUCAUAUCUGACUUGAGCGUCGGAGGGUUUGCGCCGGGAAAACAACCGGCGUACUCUGACUUAUCUGUGUACGCAGGGACCUCUGGAGAAGAAGCCUGGCGAGGAGACCUCCUGGUCGUGACGAAGUUGAUCGAGCAGAGAUCCUGAUCGUAGAACGAGGAGAACCGAAAUCUCGCAUCAACAAUAAAUAUUCAAGUUUGAUAUUCAUUGAUAAUCAACUUAGGGAAGGAAUAAAUUACCUUAAUAUAGCAAAUAAUUGUGUUCAUAAUUUUUAAAUUUGUAAUUGUGCCUUCUAGUUGAUAAAAUGAGACAAAGAAAGAGGAUGAAUUUUGAUGGAUUAAAAGAGGGCUGUGUUGAUUAAGAGUGAGAAAGGAGAGGAAAGAUCUCUGUUUUCUAGAUUCACAGUGGUGAGCCGUGUACGAGAUUUGGCAGAUAAGAAAAUCGUUUGGUUCAUAUUUUGAGUUGGAAAUAUUAAUUUGCCCCCACCGCAAAACGCAAUUUAUAAAAUUGAUUCAUUAUUAAUUUUUUAUAAAAUUACCUCACUAUGAAGUAAUUAUCCCGAAAAUUAACAUGAAGUUUAAACAAUUUUUUUUUUCCACUGGCGUCAAUUGCCCCCACUGCCCAAUAAAUAGAUCCACCCCUGUCCAUAGGCAGCUCAUAUUUGGAGGUUCCAAAAGACAAAUGAGAUGGGGAUGAAGAAUGGAACAUUCUCAUGGUUAUAAUAUUAUUAAUAGACCAAAAAGUAUUUGCGACUUUAACAAUUAAAAAAUUAAUAUUUUUUAAAAAAAAGUAGUAAAGUUUUGCUUAAAAUAAGGAUUUUAGUUGAAAAUUGAAAAGUUUGAUGGAACAUGAUCUGUUUUUGAGUCGGGCAAUCAUCAUUUUGAUACAUUCCUUUAAGAUAUUGUAAAUUUGAAUUAAUACCCUAUCUAUUAGGUUAUCUUAAUCAAAUAGGUCGGUACAUAGGCAUCUAUUAUAUGGAUUCUGUCUACAGAAUCUAAAAUUAAAAUAGUGAUGGAUGAGAUGAGCCUCUUCGGGAAUCAGGAAGAUGGAAAAAGAGAAAAUCUAAAAUGAUUUUGGAAGCUAUUUUGUAAAUUUUAUUGUACUAGUAAACAUAAGAAUCUAUUAAAAUAUAUAUUAAGAAUAACGAGGUUGAAGUCGUAGGAACUUUUUCUUUUAAGAAAGGAAAAUUUAAUCUAAAUUAAUUAUAAUCGAUCUUAGUUGAAAAGAAAAUAUUUUGUUUCAGAAAAUUAAAACCAAAGAUGCAAGUAAAUUAACAUAAGAACCAAGAGAUUGAGGUUACCAAGUUUCAGUAUCCACCAUAAUUCAAUUUAACAAUUAUCUAAUUACCAAUCGAUUCAAGAGACUGGGGCUAGUAAGUUUCAAAAUCAACUAAAGUUCAACUUAACAAUUAUCUAAUUACCAAUCAAUUUUUAAUUUUAGAAUGUCUAUUCAUAAAUAUAAUAAUCAAGCCUAAUUAAAAUUAAUUUUAUGAAUACUCUUUUUCUACUUCAUAAUGCGAUAUCUAAAUAUUUUAAGUAAAUAAUAUUGAAUAAUAAAGAGUUAAGAGUUUAUUUGAGCACUCUAUGUAAACUAUUUGAUGAAAGAAAGAAAAUUAGGAGUGGUAAAAAAGCCCGAGCCGGCCCAGGCCCACAAUGUGUGGGCCUAAAACAAAUUGCAAAGCCCACAUAUGUUAGGUCUGAACAAGGGCUUAGCAAAAAAGCCCGGACUUGGCUCGGGCUUUUUAAAUUUAUGAAUAAAAAAUAAAAUUAAUUUAAAUAAAAAAGAAAAAAACUCAAAAUAUUAAAUUAGUUUAAUUUUUUAUAUUAGUAUUUGUUAUUUUAUUAAGUUGUAUUACUAAUAUUUUAUGUAUUGGACUAUUAUUUUAUUAUAUAUUAGAUGAUUAUCUUUAAUUUAAAUAUUUUUUUUAAUUUAAAAAUAUUUUAUAAUUAAUUUAAAAAGCCCGAGCCCGGCCCGUCUAAAUUUGGACGGCUUUUUGAAGGGCCUGGACUUUGUUUGAAUGAUGUGGGCUUAGGCCUGGGUUUCGAAAAGCCUGGCCCAAGCUCGCAAAUCGCCAACCCUACAGAAAAUUAAAGAUAAUCAUGCAUAAAUUUUAUAGAUUUAAGUGUAGAUUUGAUUUAAUAUUAAUCCCAACAAUCAAUAAUGCAGGACAAAAUUAGUGAAGAUAUUUAAUAAUAGUCAACCAAACAUAUAAAAAUAAGAAUUAUCCACAUUAAAACACACAUAUAUAAGAAGAUAACCGAAUAAAAUGUAAUUUAUUUAAUUAAACAAGAAAUUAUCUUUAACAUUAGUAUGAAAAAUGAAAAAGACAUGGAGAGAUUGAAAACAAUAAAACCGAUAAAAAGCCAAGCCUUCAGCGGCCUUCAAUUCCUUUCUGUCUCGCUGAAAGCUUGGCUUUGUAAGGGUGUUCAGAAUCCAAUCCGAUCCGCUCAAUCCGUCUGAUCCGUAAAAAUCUGAUCUGUGGACCUGUGGAUUGGAUAUGGAUUAAAAUUUUAAAAAUCCGCAGUCGAUGGAUUAGAUAUGGAUUUACUUCUGUAAAUCCGUAAAAAUUCGUGAAUUCGCAAAAAAAAAAAAAAAAAAAAAUAUAUAUAUAUAUAUAUAGUUAAAAAAUUAUUAUAAAUUUAAUUAAAUAAUAUUAUAAAUGUGACAUUACAUAGUUACAUAAGCACUAUAACAUAUCUUAGCCAUUACCCAAUAAUAAUAUUAAUUAAAAAAUAAUUAAAUAAUCAAAUAUACAAUAUAACUUGUAAAAAUUGUAAAACAAAAUAAAAACAAAGUCACUAGCAACAGCAAAGUAACAUAACGGCAAGUUACCAACAAUUUGUAAAGUCACCCAAAAGCAAAGUAACAUAACGCCAUGAUGAGAACCAUCAAGGGAAUACCAUUAAAGUUUCAAGUGAUCCUUUGCACAUUCAUAGAGGCCCAAUUACAAGGGCUAGAGCAAAAAAGAUGCAAGCUGCUUUAAAUUGAUUAAUUGAGAAAAUAUGAAUUGAAAAUGCAAUUCAAGAUGCAAGACAUCAUGAAUUGGGCUUGAAGAGAAGACAAGGCAUUGUGGGCAUUAUUCAAGUUAUUGGGCAGCCAAAUACACAAUUUGUAUCAAAUGCAGAAAGGUCAAAUUCGGAAUAAAACUAGUAUUGAUUGAGCCAAAAGUAAUGUGCAAACUAUAUACCGUUGGAAAGAUAAUUACGUUAGCUUUCCAAUGCAUUUUACAGAGUUAGAUUUGAAGUUCUCUAAAAGGAGUUAUGACCAAUUCAUUACAGCUUGUUCAGACUUGAGAUUUUCAACGACUCAUUUAUUUUUCAACUUCAUUUCUUUAUUUUGUUUCAAGUUUGUCAAAAGUUUAUCAAUGUGUAAGGUAAGUCUACUAGGAAUGGCAAAAGGUCGUGUCGGGCUCGGGCUUGACCAAGCCCGAACCCGACCCGAUCAAAAAAAUUUGAAGCCCGACCCUAAAAAAGCUCGAACAUUUUAUAGUUAGGGUCGGGUCCGACCCGGCCCGAAUCAAGUCAACGUCAGGUCGGGCCCAACCCGACCCUACCAAAAUAGUUUUCAUAUUAUUUUAAUAUUAAACUAUUUUUUAACGUUUUGUUUUAUAUUCAUGUUAUUUUAAUGUUUUUCUUCUAUACAUGCACCUUAAUUCAAUAAUUUAGGCAACUCAAAUUUGUCAAUAUCUUGUAAUUUUAUGACCACAUCCCAAAUUCAUUCAUGUUACUUUUUAAUUUUUGUUCUCUUUCUAGUUAUAAUACCAUGAAUAUAAUACAAAAGAAAUAAUUUUUCUAAUUUAAAAUAAUUAACAAGACAAAUGCAAAAUAUACAAUAUAAUUAAUCACAAAAUAAUGCACAAAACAACCAAUUAAUAGGAAUAAUUUUUUAAAUUCAAUUCCAUAAUCCAACUUUAAAAACACACAAUGCGAUUAAAUUAAAAAAAACACACAAUUUAAUUCCACAACCAUUUCAACCCCACACACAAAUCAAUUCCAAAAUCCAACAUGAAAAACUCAUAAUGCAAUUAAAUUAAAAAUACACAUGUAAUUUCACAACCAUUUUAGCCAUACACAAUUCAAUUCAACAAUCCAACAUAAAAAAUAAAAAAUAAAAAACUCAUGUCUUAUACAAAUAAAAACACACAAUUUAGUUCCACAACCCAACAUUAAAAAAAAAAACAUGUCUUAUGUUGAGUGUUAGAAAAUGCAUAUUUAUAAAGGAGAAAACCGUUAUUUUACAUUUCAAGUCUUACUAACAACCCUUACUUUUAUGUAUUUAACCUACUUGUGAUUUAAUUACAUGUGUUUUAUUUUAAUUAAGUAUUUUAUGUAUUUUAGGGGCAUUAUAGUCAUUUCACAAUAAACGAGAAAUCAGAUGGCAAAACGGACAUCACUUUUGAACUCAGGACGGUCGAAAACCUUAGGAGGAGCAUAAAAGGAAAAAUGGCACUGUUCACAUGUACGGUACUGUAUACGUUACUGUUCACGACACUGUUCACAUAGACGGACCGAUGACGUGGCAUUGACUGAUGAGGUGUCACGAUCCUGUUGGACUAAAAUUCUUAUAUAUUGUUGAUGGUGACGUGGUAGCAUAUCAGUGGACGAAAAAUUUCGCAUACGGUGCAUGCAUCACACAGGAUUAUUUUCAACCAAACCGCGUUACUGAUCAUCCGGGUCAAAUCGUGUUACUGUUCAUCCGCGUGGUCAAACCGUGGACUGUUGACUGAUGACGUGGCGCAAUCCUGAGCGUCCAAACUGUUUUUAAUCCGAUGGCCAUGAUUUACUCCAUGUAUCUAUAAAAAGGGGGCCUCUCCUCCCUAAUUUGAUAUCUCUUAAUUCAUUUUUGGGAUCCAUUUUCUGUAAUUCCUUCUCCAUCUUGUAUUUUCUUCGUAUUUUAAUAAAUUCCCAUUUUGCCCCUAGUUCAAUUAUGAGUGGCUAGUUUUCUUUCAAGCUUGGGUUGAAGAUGAAGUCUCAACAUGUGUCAUGGGCUUAAUUUGAUAAAUUUAUUUUCUAUUCCCCUCUAGUUUUUGUGGAUGUUUUGACUUCUCGUCGACAAAUAAUAUUAAUCUUGUCUAGUACCGCCUUGGUUUCACCGGCCCUCUAGUACAAGGUUAUUAUUAUUUGGCACGAUAAGCCCUUAGCACCAUAUUGAUUAGAGCGUGGUUCAUGAGGUGUAGAUUCCCCCCUCAUGAUUUAAUGGACAUUAAUACGGAUUAUUUAGCCCAUGAUGCAUGUUGAUACGAAUCCAGAUACCCAAGUACGUCAUUUCAAUAGAAUUCUCUUUAAUUUAUUCUCACCAUUUCAAUACCAAUUUUAGAAUUUAUUCUCGCCAUUUUAUUUUAAGUUUUAGCAUAUUCCAAAUCAUUUCCACCGCAAAUCCAAUCACCCAUUUACAAAAUUAAUUCUAUACACAAUUAAAAUUCACCUCCUCGUGGGAUCAACACUCGUCACCAUUAGUCUAUACUACAAUAGAUUCGUGCGCUUGCGAGUACAUUAAAAUUUGCACAACAAGUUUUUGGCGCCGUUGCCGGGGAGGUAAGUAAUUUUAAUUCAUAGAAUUAAUUUUUGUGAAUAAUUUCUUUUAUU